rnacentral:rRNA from 1 species
AUUGAACGCUGGCGGCAGGCCUAACACAUGCAAGUCGAACGAGUGGCGGACGGGUGAGUAAUGUCUGGGAACCUGCCAGAUGGAGGGGGAUAACUACUGGAAACGGUAGCUAAUACCGCAUACCAUCGGAUGUGCCAAGAUGGGAUUAGCUAGUAGGGGGGGUAACGGCUCACCAAGGCGACGAUCCGUAGCUGGUCUGAGAGGAUGACCCGCCACACUGGAACUGAGACACGGUCCAGACUCCGAAGGGAGGCAGCAGUGGGGAAUAUUGCACAAUGGGCGCAAGCCUGAUGCAGCCAUGCCGCGUGUAUGAAGAAGGCCUUCGGGUUGGAAAGUACUGUCAGCGUUGAGGCGUUACCCGCAGAAGAAGCACCGGCUAACUCCGUGCCAGCAGCCGCGGUAAUUC